GACAAAACGGGUGAAAAACCCGUUCGCCGAAAGACCAAGGGUUCCAGUCCAACGUUAAUCGGGGCUGGGUGAGUCGACCCCUAAGGCGAGGCCGAAAGGCGUAGUCGAUGGGAAAAUGGUUAAUAUUCCAUUACUUCUGUGUAAUGCGAUGAGAGGACGGAGAAGGCUAAAUCAGCCUGGCGUUGGUUGUCCAGGUGAAAGGAUGUAGGCAUGUAUCUUAGGCAAAUCCGGGGUACUCUAUGCUGAGAUCUGAUAGCAAGCUGUACUUGUACAGCGAAGUGGUUGAUGCCAUGCUUCCAGGAAAAGUCUCUAAGCUUCAGUUACACAGGAAUCGUACCCGAAACCGACACAGGUGGUCAGGUCGAGUAGACCAAGGCGCUUGAGAGAACUCUGCUGAAGGAACUAGGCAAAAUGGUACCGUAACUUCGGGAGAAGGUACGCUGUUGUUGGUGAUGGAACUCGCUUCCUGAGCUGACGACAGCCGCAGAAACCAGGCCGCUGCAACUGUUUAUUAAAAACAUAGCACUCUGCAAACACGAAAGUGGACGUAUAGGGUGUGAUGCCUGCCCGGUGCUGGAAGGUUAAUUGAUGGGGUUAGCGUAAGCGAAGCUCUUGAUCGAAGCCCCAGUAAACGGCGGCCGUAACUAUAACGGUCCUAAGGUAGCGAAAUUCCUUGUCGGGUAAGUUCCGACCUGCACGAAUGGCAUAAUGAUGGCGGCGCUGUCUCCAGCAGAGGCUCAGUGAAAUCGAAAUCGCUGUGAAGAUGCAGUGUACCCGCGGCUAGACGGAAAGACCCCGUGAACCUUUACUGCAGCUUGACACUGAACUUUGACCUUACUUGUGUAGGAUAGGUGGGAGGCUUUGAAGCUGGAACGCUAGUUCCAGUGGAGCCGUCCUUGAAAUACCACCCUGGUAAUGUUGAGGUUCUAACUCUGUCCCGUGAUCCGGGACGAGGACCGUGUCUGGUGGGUAGUUUGACUGGGGCGGUCUCCUCCUAAAGAGUAACGGAGGAGUACGAAGGUGCGCUCAGCGUGGUCGGAAAUCACGCGUAGAGUAUAAAGGCAAAAGCGCGCUUAACUGCGAGACCCACAAGUCGAGCAGGUACGAAAGUAGGUCUUAGUGAUCCGGUGGUUCUGUAUGGAAGGGCCAUCGCUCAACGGAUAAAAGGUACUCUGGGGAUAACAGGCUGAUACCGCCCAAGAGUUCAUAUCGACGGCGGUGUUUGGCACCUCGAUGUCGGCUCAUCUCAUCCUGGGGCUGAAGCAGGUCCCAAGGGUAUGGCUGUUCGCCAUUUAAAGAGGUACGCGAGCUGGGUUUAGAACGUCGUGAGACAGUUCGGUCCCUAUCUACCGUGGGCGCUGGAAAUUUGAGAGGAUCUGCUCCUAGUACGAGAGGACCAGAGUGGACGAACCUCUGGUGUACCGGUUGUGACGCCAGUCGCAUCGCCGGGUAGCUAUGUUCGGAAGGGAUAACCGCUGAAAGCAUCUAAGCGGGAAGCCUACCUCAAGAUAAGAUUUCCCUAGGACUUUAUGUCCUCUAAAGAGCCGUUCGAGACUAGGACGUUGAUAGGUUGGAUGUGGAAGCAUAGUGAUAUGUGAAGCUGACCAAUACUAAUUGCUCGUGAGGCUUGACUAU
rnacentral:rRNA from 1 species